rnacentral:rRNA from 1 species
GAUGAACGCUGGCGGCGUGCCUAAUACAUGCAAGUCGAACGCGAGAGGAGGGAGCUUGCUCCCUCUGAUCGAGUGGCGGACGGGUGAGUAACACGUAGGCAACCUGCCCAUCAGCCGGGGAUAACUGCGGGAAACCGUGGCUAAUACCGGAUAAUCCUCCCCACCGCGGGGUGGGGAGUUGAAAGACGGUUUCGGCUGUCGCUGAUGGAUGGGCCUGCGGCGCAUUAGCUGGUUGGCGGGGUAACGGCCCACCAAGGCAACGAUGCGUAGCCGACCUGAGAGGGUGAUCGGCCACACUGGGACUGAGACACGGCCCAGACUCCUACGGGAGGCAGCAGUAGGGAAUCUUCCGCAAUGGACGCAAGUCUGACGGAGCAACGCCGCGUGAGUGAAGAAGGGUUUCGGCUCGUAAAACUCUGUUGUUAAGGAAGAACGCCAGGUAGAGUAACUGCUACCUGUGUGACGGUACUUAACCAGAAAGCCACGGCUAACUACGUGCCAGCCGCCGCAGUAA